rnacentral:lncRNA from 1 species
AUUAUGUAAAUUUUCUCGAUCCUAAAUUCAUUACAAUAUUCAAUUUCAGGAAAUGCUCUUGACCAUCUGCUGCUGCUCCAAGAAAUGAGUCUUGGAGAUUGUUUACUACCAGAGAUGAUGGAGGGAAAUUUGAACUCUUGUCUUCUGCUGCUGAGUAGAUCCUUAAGACGGUACAACGUGAGACAGAGGGAAAUGAACAGCCCUGUCCUGCCCCUUCCCCAGCUGAAAACCACUGGAGAAUUCCAGGGAAGCAUGAAAAAGGGAGUGCUGCAUUCCCUGUGCUGGACAUGCUGCAGCAGGGAGGAGAGCAGAGAGCACAGGGGCUUUUUUGGCUCUCAUUUGGUGCUGGGGAUGAUCCAUAGGGACAGGUAGGACCCUGCAGCUUCUUCAUUGCUUUUCCCUUUCCCUCCCCUGGCUGUUCCCAGUGCCAGCACUGCUGUGGGCAGAGCUGCUGCUCACAUCAGCUCCCAGCAGGUGGG